rnacentral:rRNA from 1 species
AGCAGCCGCGGUAAUUCCAGCUCCAAUAGCGUAUAUUAAAGUUGUUGCAGUUAAAAAGCUCGUAGUUGAAUUUCGAGACCGGUUUACUGGUCGUGCUUUUGUACGUACUGGUAUAAUCGGUUUCUCUCUUCUGACGAACUAUAAUGCCAUUAAUUUGGUGUUUUAGGGAAUCAGGACUGUUACUUUGAAAAAAUUAGAGUGUUUAAAGCAGGCUCACGCUUGAAUACAUUAGCAUGGAAUAACGAAAUAGGACGUUUGAUUUUAUUUUGUUGGUUUCUAGGAUCGACGUAAUGAUUAAUAGGGAUAGUUGGGGGCAUUAGUAUUCAAUUGUCAGAGGUGAAAUUCUUGGAUUUAUUGAAGACUAACUACUGCGAAAGCAUUUGCCAAGGAUGUUUUCAUUAAUCAAGAACGAAAGUUAGGGGAUCGAAGACGAUCAGAUACCGUCGUAGUCUUAACCAUAAACUAUGCCGACUAGGGAUCGGAUGAUGUUAAAUUAAUGACUCAUUCGGCACCUUACGG